rnacentral:rRNA from 1 species
UACGUAGGGGGCUAGCGUUGUCCGGAAUCAUUGGGCGUAAAGCGCGCGUAGGCGGCCAGAUAAGUCCGGUGUGAAAGUCAAAGGCUCAACCUUUGAAUGCCGCUGGAAACUGUCUGGCUAGAGUGCGGAAGAGGCGAGUGGAAUUCCUGGUGUAGCGGUGAAACGCGCAGAUAUCAGGAGGAACACCAAUUGCGAAGGCAGCUCGCUGGGACGCUACUGACGCUGAGACGCGAAAAGCGUGGGGAGCAAACAGG